UACGGAGGCGGCUAGCGUUGUUCGGAAUUACUGGGCGUAAAGCGCGCGUAGGCGGACCUGCAAGUCGGGGGUGAAAGCCCGAGGCUCAACCUCGGAACUGCCUUCGAUACUGCGGGUCUCGAGUCCGGGAGAGGUGAGUGGAAGUCCUAGUGUAGAGGUGAAAUUCGUAGAUAUUAGGAAGAACACAAGUGGCGAAGGCGGCUCACUGGUCCGGUACUGACGCUGAGGCGCGAAAGCGUGGGGAGCAAACAGG
rnacentral:rRNA from 1 species